CCCUUAGAUGUUCUGGGCCGCACGCGCGCUACACUGAUGCAUUCAACGAGCCUAUCCUUGACCGACAGGUCCGGGUAAUCUUUGAAUCUGCAUCGUGACGGGGAUAGAUUAUUGCAAUUAUUAAUCUUCAACGAGGAAUGCCUAGUAGGCGCAAGUCAUCAGCUUGCGUCGAUUACGUCCCUGCCCUUUGUACACACCGCCCGUCGCACCUACCGAUUGAAUGGUCCGGUGAAGCCUCGGGAUUGUGGCCAGUUCACUUUAUUGGGAGUUGGCUGCGAGAACUUGUCUAAACCUUAUCAUUUAGAGGAAGGUGAAGUCGUAACA
rnacentral:rRNA from 1 species